AACUAGCCCUCGGGUCCUGCUUCUGUUGGGCCCGACGGAAUGAUUCGCUUCUUAGAGGGACUCGCGGCGCCUAGCCGCACGAAGGGGGGCGAUAACAGGUCUGUGAUGCCCUUAGAUGUUCGGGGCUGCACGCGCGCUACACUGAAGGCAUCAGCGUGCGCUUUGUCCGUUCCCUGCCUGAAAAGGCUGGGUAACCCGCUGAACCGCCUUCGUGCCUGGGAUAGGGAUUUGCAAUUAUCUCCCUUGAACGAGGAAUUCCCAGUAGGCGCGAGUCAUCAGCUCGCGUCGAUUACGUCCCUGCCCUUUGUACACACCGCCCGUCGCUACUACCGAUCGAACGAUGUAGUGAGGUCCUCGGACUGGCAUCUACUCGGAAGCCGGGUUCGCUCGGUAGAAGAGCUUGUUUGCCGGGAAGAGAACCAAACUGAAUCGUUUAGAGGAAGUAAAAGUCGUAACAAGGUAUCCGGUAGGU
rnacentral:rRNA from 1 species